GUCCUUGUAGCGCAAUGUAUUGCGCGUUGAACUUCUAAUCUAAAGGUCGUGGUGAUGAAUACCACCUGGGAUG